rnacentral:lncRNA from 1 species
AUUCUUAUGUCAAAGGCAUGCUUCCUAAAUUUUAGAUUAACUCAUCUACUUUCUCUAGGCAAAUCAAGAGAACAAGAGGGUAUACCACAACAUGUGCCAGCAGAAAUAGAAGAAGGGUGGGUUCAUCAAAGACUCAGAGUAGGGUCCUCUCUCUGCACAGCCCCUCUGUACACUGGUGUCCUCCAUGAACGUGCACAUUAGAAUCCUGUGCACCUGACACCUGAGCACAGUCCAGGUUGGCUCCUGGGAAGAUCCAGGUGCAGACAGCUGCUUUGCUGGUGAUCAUCAGGGGUCUGACUUACUCCCCCAACCAGCAAGCUAAUAUCUCGGUCUUCCAUUAUGCUAUGAUUCAUAAUUACAUGUGUGAAGUGGAAACUUGAAGACUAAGCUUCCGCAUUGCCUCUUGCUGAAGAUAAAAGUCCACGACAGAGCAGCGAGCACUUCCUGGGACUUCCUUGCUGGCUCUCCUCUCCACCACCUGUUUGUUCUGCCAAGACUCUGAUGCGGUGAAUACGAAAACUAACAUUUUC